AAAUUCCAAUCUUAGUAAAUAUAUGCAAUAAUUAAAACAAAAAGAUAUUACAUGCCACACAUAUGCCAUUAAGCAAUGAGUAUAUGUGUCUUGGUGUCGUGGGGCAUUACUCUAAUAAUUAACAUAUAUUCCUUCUAAAUGUUUCUAAAGUAAAAAUUUAAAAAGUGAAAAUUAAAUUAAACACAUCCAUAUGAAGGAAGACACCAUUUACAAUCCAUGAGGUAAUAGCAAGGAUGUCUCCUUUUCUUGGCAUCUAAUGUCACCUGAUGAAUCUGCUGACUUACUCCUUCCGAUGCUUUCUAAACUUUCUAAACAAAUGUUGAAGCUCCGAAUGAAGGGCAAUGUGCAAGAAACCCAACCAAAACAUUCCGCCAGUCAGCCAAGAGAAAGUUGUUAUUUGAUAUCUGUAGCUAUUAACUUCUUCAUCAUCAUUGCCCGAAAGAAAUAAACUCCAUGUUACGCUUAUGAUCGAAUAAAAUAUGAAGCAGAAGAAGCUCAAACCAAUGACACAAAUGCCAUAUCCAAAGGAAGGUGCUAAAACUGCAUAAGCGCCUGUCACAAAUGUAAUCACCAUUGCUACCAUAGCAUAGAAGAGGAAGCUGAAGGCACAUCUUAUCAACCAAUAGUAUCUUUCCAGAUAUCCUAACAUCACCAAUAUAAAGUGGAUAAAGACACAAGAAGUAGAUAAAACCAUAGCUAUA
rnacentral:misc_RNA from 1 species